CCUACGGGUGGCAGCAGUGGGGAAUAUUGGACAAUGGGGGCAACCCUGAUCCAGCCAUGCCGCGUGUGUGAAGAAGGCCCUCGGGUUGUAAAGCACUUUCAGUGAGGAAGAACGCCUGGUGGUUAAUACCCAUCAGGAAAGACAUCACUCACGGAAGAAGCACCGGCUAACUCCGUGCCAGCAGCCGCGGUAAUACGGAGGGUGCGAGCGUUAAUCGGAAUUACUGGGCGUAAAGCGCGCGUAGGUGGCUUGAUAAGCCGGUUGUGAAAGCCCCGGGCUCAACCUGGGAACGGCAUCCGGAACUGUCAAGCUAGAGUGCAGGAGAGGAAGGUAGAAUUCCCGGUGUAGCGGUGAAAUGCGUAGAGAUCGGGAGGAAUACCAGUGGCGAAGGCGGCCUUCUGGACUGACACUGACACUGAGGUGCGAAAGCGUGGGUAGCAAACAGGAUUAGAUACCCUGGUAGUC
rnacentral:rRNA from 1 species